rnacentral:rRNA from 2 species
UCGUACGCACUGGCCCAACUGAUUGAUGGUGCUUGCACCUGAUUGACGAUGGAUCACCAGUGAGUGGCGGACGGGUGAGUAACACGUAGGUAACCUGCCCCGGAGCGGGGGAUAACAUUUGGAAACAGAUGCUAAUACCGCAUAACAACAAAAGCCACAUGGCUUUUGUUUGAAAGAUGGCUUUGGCUAUCACUCUGGGAUGGACCUGCGGUGCAUUAGCUAGUUGGUAAGGUAACGGCUUACCAAGGCGAUGAUGCAUAGCCGAGUUGAGAGACUGAUCGGCCACAAUGGAACUGAGACACGGUCCAUACUCCUACGGGAGGCAGCAGUAGGGAAUCUUCCACAAUGGGCGCAAGCCUGAUGGAGCAACACCGCGUGAGUGAAGAAGGGUUUCGGCUCGUAAAGCUCUGUUGUUGGAGAAGAACGUGCGUGAGAGUAACUGUUCACGCAGUGACGGUAUCCAACCAGAAAGUCACGGCUAACUACGUGCCAGCAGCCGCGGUAAUACGUAGGUGGCAAGCGUUAUCCGGAUUUAUUGGGCGUAAAGCGAGCGCAGGCGGUUGCUUAGGUCUGAUGUGAAAGCCUUCGGCUUAACCGAAGAAGUGCAUCGGAAACCGGGCGACUUGAGUGCAGAAGAGGACAGUGGAACUCCAUGUGUAGCGGUGGAAUGCGUAGAUAUAUGGAAGAACACCAGUGGCGAAGGCGGCUGUCUGGUCUGCAACUGACGCUGAGGCUCGAAAGCAUGGGUAGCGAACAGGAUUAGAUACCCUGGUAGUCCAUGCCGUAAACGAUGAGUGCUAGGUGUUGGAGGGUUUCCGCCCUUCAGUGCCGGAGCUAACGCAUUAAGCACUCCGCCUGGGGAGUACGACCGCAAGGUUGAAACUCAAAGGAAUUGACGGGGGCCCGCACAAGCGGUGGAGCAUGUGGUUUAAUUCGAAGCUACGCGAAGAACCUUACCAGGUCUUGACAUCUUGCGCUAACCUUAGAGAUAAGGCGUUCCCUUCGGGGACGCAAUGACAGGUGGUGCAUGGUCGUCGUCAGCUCGUGUCGUGAGAUGUUGGGUUAAGUCCCGCAACGAGCGCAACCCUUGUUACUAGUUGCCAGCAUUAAGUUGGGCACUCUAGUGAGACUGCCGGUGACAAACCGGAGGAAGGUGGGGACGACGUCAGAUCAUCAUGCCCCUUAUGACCUGGGCUACACACGUGCUACAAUGGACGGUACAACGAGUCGCAAGCUCGCGAGAGUAAGCUAAUCUCUUAAAGCCGUUCUCAGUUCGGACUGUAGGCUGCAACUCGCCUACACGAAGUCGGAAUCGCUAGUAAUCGCGGAUCAGCAUGCCGCGGUGAAUACGUUCCCGGGCCUUGUACACACCGCCCGUCACACCAUGGGAGUUUGUAACGCCCAAAGUCGGUGGCCUAACCU